UACGGGGGGGGCAAGCGUUGUUCGGAAUUACUGGGCGUAAAGAGCGUGUAGGCGGCCAGGUAGGUCUGCUGUGAAAACUCGAGGCUCAACCUCGAGACGUCGGCGGAAACCAUCUGGCUAGAGUCCGGAAGAGGAGAGUGGAAUUCCUGGUGUAGCGGUGAAAUGCGCAGAUAUCAGGAAGAACACCCGUGGCGAAGGCGGCUCUCUGGGACGGUACUGACGCUGAGACGCGAAAGCGUGGGGAGCGAACAGG
rnacentral:rRNA from 1 species